GGGGGUUUAACUCAGUGGUAGAGUGUCUGCUUUGCAUGCAGAAAGCCAGGCGUUCGAUCCGCCUAUCCUCCA